CGGGGCUGUCGCCGACUUUGUGCACGCCCCGGUGCUCUCUCACAAUCCAUCUCACCCCCUUUGUGCAUCACCGCGUGGGCGCUCUCCUUUUGGUUCAUUCUGAAAAGGGGGCGUUUGCGUUUUUAUACAGACCACCGCAUGUGUAGAAUGUCUUACUAUUUGCGAUAACACGCAAUCAAUACAACUUUCAACAACGGAUCUCUUGGCUCUCGCAUCGAUGAAGAACGCAGCGAAAUGCGAUACGUAAUGUGAAUUGCAGAAUUCAGUGAAUCAUCGAAUCUUUGAACGCACCUUGCGCCCCUUGGAAUUCCGAGGGGCACACCCGUUUGAGUGUCGUGAACAUCCUUCAACCUUUCUUGGUUUCUUGACCGGGGAAGGCUUGGACUUUGGGGGUUUUUCAUUGCUGGCCUCCCUUGAAGCCAGCUCCUCCUAAAUGGAUUAGUGGGGUCUGCUUUGCCGAUCCUUGACGUGAUAAGAUGUUUCUACGUCUUGGGUUUCGCACUGUCGCUUCAGACCCCGCUUCAAACAGUCUUGCAUCUAAGACAGAGUUUUAUAAACCUUGACCUCAAAUCGGGUGAGACUACCCGCUGAACUUAAGCAUAUC
rnacentral:rRNA from 1 species